rnacentral:misc_RNA from 1 species
UUAUUUGAACUUAGUGAACUCUUAGGGUUGAGCAAGCGGUUCAGACCGAACCGAUUUAUAAUUAAAUUAUAAAAAUUGAAUAGUAAAUUUUAAAAAUCAAAUCGAAUCGAAAUUAGUGAAAAAUCAAAUCGAAUCGUAUCGCUUUAUUUCGGUUUGGUUUGAUUUAAAUCGAUUGGUUUGAUUUUUGAUUUAUUUUUUAAUUUAGA